CCUACGGGAGGCAGCAGUGGGGAAUAUUGGACAAUGGGCGAAAGCCUGAUCCAGCAAUGCCGCGUGAGUGAUGAAGGCCUUAGGGUUGUAAAGCUCUUUUACCAGGGAUGAUAAUGACAGUACCUGGAGAAUAAGCUCCGGCUAACUCCGUGCCAGCAGCCGCGGUAAUACGGAGGGAGCUAGCGUUGUUCGGAAUUACUGGGCGUAAAGCGUACGUAGGCGGUUAUUCAAGUCAGAGGUGAAAGCCUGGAGCUCAACUCCAGAACUGCCUUUGAAACUAGAUAGCUAGAAUCUUGGAGAGGUGAGUGGAAUUCCGAAGUGUAGAGGUGAAAAUUCGUAGAUAUUCGGAAGAACACCAGUGGCGAAGGCGACUCACUGGACAAGUAUUGACGCUGAGGUACGAAAGCGUGGGGAGCAAACAGGAUUAGAUACCCUGGUAGUCCACGCCGUAAACGAUGAUAACUAGCUGUUCGGGCUCUACGAGCUUGAGUUGGCGCAGACUACGACAUAAGUUAAGUCCGUCCGUCGGGAGGUACGGUCGACGAAGAAGUUAAAACUUAAAAGUUAAGUUAAGUUAGUACGGACGUUGAGACGUUAGCGACGGACGACGACGAGGGAGGAGG
rnacentral:rRNA from 1 species